rnacentral:tRNA from 1 species
CGGCGUGUAGCUCAGUCAGCAAGAGCACCGGACUCUGGUUCCGGAGGGCGCGGGGGCAGGACCCGCCACGUCGG